rnacentral:rRNA from 1 species
UGGGGAAUAUUGCACAAUGGGCGCAAGCCUGAUGCAGCCAUGCCGCGUGUAUGAAGAAGGCCUUCGGGUUGUAAAGUACUUUCAGUCGGGAGGAAGGUGUCAAGGUUAAUAACCUUGGCAAUUGACGUUACCGACAGAAGAAGCACCGGCUAACUCCGUGCCAGCAGCCGCGGUAAUACGGAGGGUGCAAGCGUUAAUCGGAAUUACUGGGCGUAAAGCGCACGCAGGCGGUUGAUUGAGUCAGAUGUGAAAUCCCCGGGCUUAACCCGGGAAUUGCAUCUGAGACUGGUCAGCUAGAGUCUUGUAGAGGGGGGUAGAAUUCCAUGUGUAGCGGUGAAAUGCGUAGAGAGGUGGAGGAAUACCGGUGGCGAAGGCGGCCCCCUGGACAAAGACUGACGCUCAGGUGCGAAAGCGUGGGGAGCAAACAGG